GACGAACGCUGGCGGCGUGCUUAACACAUGCAAGUCGAACGGAAAGGCCCUGCUUUUGUGGGGUGCUCGAGUGGCGAACGGGUGAGUAACACGUGAGUAACCUGCCCUUGAUUUUGGGAUAACUUCAGGAAACUGGGGCUAAUACCGGAUAGGAGCUCCUGCUGCAUGGUGGGGGUUGGAAAGUUUCGGCGGUUGGGGAUGGACUCGCGGCUUAUCAGCUUGUUGGUGGGGUAGUGGCUUACCAAGGCUUUGACGGGUAGCCGGCCUGAGAGGGUGACCGGCCACAUUGGGACUGAGAUACGGCCCAGACUCCUACGGGAGGCAGCAGUGGGGAAUAUUGCACAAUGGGCGGAAGCCUGAUGCAGCAACGCCGCGUGCGGGAUGACGGCCUUCGGGCUGUAAACCGCUUUCGCCUGUGACGAAGCGUGAGUGACGGUAAUGGGUAAAGAAGCACCGGCUAACUACGUG
rnacentral:rRNA from 1 species